UUUAUGGAGAGUUUGAUCCUGGCUCAGGACGAACGCUCGCGGCGUGCCUAAUACAUGCAAGUCGAGCGAAUGACGAGAAGCUUGCUUCUCUGAUUUAGCGGCGGACGGGUGAGUAACACGUGGGUAACCUACCCUACAGACUGGGAUAACUUCGGGAAACCGGAGCUAAUACCGGAUAAUUCUUUUAGCCUCAUGGCUUUAAGCUGAAAGGCGCUUCGGCGUCACUGUAGGAUGGACCCGCGGUGCAUUAGCUAGUUGGUGAGGUAACGGCUCACCAAGGCAACGAUGCAUAGCCGACCUGAGAGGG
rnacentral:rRNA from 1 species